UCUUGUCGAACUGCUUCAUCAAAGCUUCGAAGUAGUCCUUGCCGCCGACCGUGCGCAUGUACUCGGUCGAGAAGUUGGCGUGCAUGCCCGAGCCGUUCCAGUCGGUAUCGCCGAGCGGCUUGCAGUGGAAUUCGAUGUCCCAUACUUCUCGGUGAGACGCAGAAGCAGGUAACGCGCGAUCCACAUUUCAUCAGCGGCCUUCUUGGAGCCCUUGCCGAAAAUCUGGAAUUCCCACUGG
rnacentral:misc_RNA from 1 species